GUUUGGGAGAGACUGACUGAUCACCCCUGAGACGAGAGGUCUCGGGCUCCGUACCCCAGGCCUAAGGGAAGGGAGAGUCUCAACCAUUUCUGAAGUCAAAGCUGACGGAAUCUGGAAAAGAACCGUUGUGGUGGCAUCUGAAUAGAUAAUACGGUAAGCGUUAUUUCGUUUGUGACCAUGGGUCAGGGUAAUUCGAAAGGCAGUACAAAGUCAAUGGAUCUGGAAAAUGGCGUGUAUGCUCGAGUGAUCAAAUCAAAGGGCACGGGGGCGUUGGAAAGCGUAAAAUCUGGGAGAAAAGGUAUGAUUUUCCUCCUAAAGGAACACUGAGUGUAAAAGCACUCAUUUUGAUAAGGGAAAAAUCAUUGCGGAUGGCAGAGAAAUGAGAGCACAGAGUAAGAUAAAGACCAAGGACGAACUGACUCAGACUAAGUCAGAGCUAAACAUUAAGCAAAUGUUUUUCCUACAUCAGAUUCAUUACAUGAUGAACCUAACUUUCUUUUUUUUCCUCCUCCCUAUGCACCUGCACGUACCCCACCUGGGGUACAUUUCCAAUUCACAAGGGUACCGCUUCUGGACGAUGACCUCCAACCCCCUCCACAACGUCGCCCUCCACCACCACCUGCUCAACAAAUCGCACAGAUACAACAACCAGCUCAACAAGCCGCACAGAUACAACAGCCAGCACGACAAGCACCACCUUCUGCACCCCCGCCCCCGCCGAUGCAAGAACAGCCACAUGGAGCGGGAUCAGAGAUCAUCCACAUCCUUGACAGCACUUUUGAAGAGGACAAAGAUGAUGUUCAGAUAAAGACGGAACGGGAGGCAAGGCCUAAGGAAACAGCAGAGAAGCCGUUCACCAGAGAAACAGCUAUCUUCAGCUUUUGCCAAGAUAGGAGAAUGGGCACAGCCACAACAUAACAACGCAAUUUCUCUUCGCAAGGACAACGCUCCCGAGAGAACGGGCAGCAGAGAGAAUGAGAGAAGAGGAGAGGAGAUCUGAAAGAAAAUGUUUGCUGGUAUUGCGGACAGAAAGGACAUUUGAAAAACCAAUGUUUCCAUUUCCUGAAAACUAAAGGGACACCGGAAUCCCAAGGGAGCGCGGGAAACCUGCCGGUGUGUAAAGAAAGGGGCGACUGAAGCCAGGAGGGGGAAGGGGAGCAUCGUACGGAGGCGGGUUAAAGCAGCACUAACACGCCCCGCAGAGGGACCUUUGCACAACAUCAAACCAGGAGAUUUCGUGUUGGUGAAAAACCUGAGGAGGAAAUCCUGGAAGGCGAGACGGUGGGAGGGGCCAUUUCAGGUUCUGCUGACGACUCACACCGCCGUGAAGGUCGCGGAGCGUGCCACCUGGGUGCACGUUGCCCAUUGCCGGAGGGUUGGUCCUGGACUGCAAGGUGUAAACCAAAGGGAGGACGGCUAGUCGACUGCUACGGACCACUUUUUCGUAUUGGUGGGAACCACAGAUACCUGUAUACUGCAAGUUUAUACGAAGAACGACACGAGAGAACUGCAACAGCUCACAAGGUAUUGGAGGACGACUCCAGUAUUCUGGGUUUGGUUUGGACACACGCACACGACAUCUUUAAUGUGGGUAAUCGACACGACGCUUGCAGCUUAAUAACUGUAAUUACAACACCAGCUUUGAGACCCCACAUUAAUUUAGACACUAAGAUAAUUUCAUUAGAACAAGAAAGCAGGAUAGCUUGGCACGACUGCACCGUGUGGUCCUACCAAACCCGAACCUACAAAGGAAAUUAAUCAACAAGGGCUCACGACCCCAACUCUAACUGUGCUCAGGGCUCACGACCCCAACUCUAACUGUGCUCAGGGCUCACGACCCCAACUCUAACUGUGCUCAAUCCGGAAUCAUCAAGGGCUCACGACCCCAACUCUAACUGUGCUCAAUUUUUUCAAGAAAACAAACUAUUUUUCUUCUUUCAAAAAUGAGGUUCAUGAUCAUACUAUGUGUGUGUGCAUUUUUGCUUUUGCAACUGCACAGAACUAUAUGUACACUAUGGUUAAGGGUAAUAACCAGAGCUACGUAACGAUGACAGUAAAUGAAGUUAUGAAUAAAUCAUAAAAAGGGA